CUAACAAAGAUCGCAAAGGGAAGGUGCCAGGACAGCGGAACAGGAGGAAGUCGACGGUGUCAUACAAGCUAAACCCUAUUGCGAGCAACUGGAAUGCAGAGAAGUGGGAUCUGAGCAGACUUAACAACGCUCGAGUAAACUCCAGCGAUCCUCCGCUAAUGAGAUUUUUGAAGAUAGUAGCGAUGAUGAUGACGACGAUGAUGAUAUUUACCUAGACAUUACCGAUGCUCCGGAUAAAACAGCACCAGAAGAAAUAGCCACAGAUGCUACAGACUAUGCAGAAAAUAACAAAGAUCCGGGAGAAAGUCUUGAAGAUAAUGAGGAUGAGGAUGAAGAAAGCCAAAAUGUUGAAAAAAAUCUUGAAGAUAAUGAGGAUGAGGAUGAAGAAAGGCAAAAUGUUGAAAGUAAGAUUUGAUUUAUUUUUUUAUUUUAAGGAAAUUUAUAUUAGAACCAAAGAAUAGAAAUGCACAUAAAACUGUAUAAAUUGCAGACUUUUUCACAGCUACUUGUGUCAAUAUACACUCCUCUAAACUUACAUGUUGAACUGAAUUACCACAUUACUUAGCGAGUGACUGCAGUUGUACUGGGAAACAAUACUGCAUUGUGGGUUAAAACAUGACAAAUUGCAUCUAUGUUUGUGCUUUACACUUGCAUUAGUAGAUGAGCCCCCUUGUUACAUAUUGUAAUACUGUUUGCCCAAUUCUUCAAACCCGUAAAAAAUUAUGCAAUUAUUUUAUUAUUUGAACUAAGCAGACAGUGAAAGAAUGCAGUGAAUGCAUCAUUUUGGGGUUCGGAUAAAUUAAGAAUCUUCACAUAAGAUUUGGCUGAAAACCAAGUCCCCCUCACUUUAUUAAGACUUUCAAAUUCAGUUUGGCUAGGCAAAGAUUAAAGUUAACAGCAUAAUUCUGCUUGUGUUAUGGUAAAACCUCAAUAAAACAUUUGAAACACAAAGAUUAAGGGGCAGAUUUAUCAAGGGUCGAAUUUCGAAUUCGAAAAACCACGAAAUUUGAAUUAAAAAAGACCGACGAAAUAAAAUUGAAGGGAUUCUUUUGGCCGAAUAGGUCUGGUUUCGAUUGAAUAGGUCAGUUUUCGAUCGUAUUCGAAUCAUGGUUCAACAUUUCCACCAAUUGACUCCGAAAAGGUUCUAGGAGGUCCCCCAUAGGCUAAAACAGCAAUUCGGCAGGUUUUAGAUGGGGAACUUUUAAAGAGACAGUACUAGUGAUGGGCGAAUUCGUCCUGUUUUCCUGCAGAUUUCAUGGGAGAUUCACGA